rnacentral:rRNA from 1 species
UACGGGGGGGGCAAGCGUUGUUCGGAAUUACUGGGCGUAAAGGGCUCGUAGGCGGCCAACUAAGUCGGACGUGAAAUCCCUCGGCUUAACCGGGGAACUGCGUCCGAUACUGGAUGGCUUGAGUGUGGGAGAGGGAUGCGGAAUUCCAGGUGUAGCGGUGAAAUGCGUAGAUAUCAGGAGGAACACCGGUGGCGAAGGCGCUCAUCUGGCCCAAUACUGACGCUGAUGCGCGAAAGCUACGGGAGCAAACGGG